GAGGAAUAUUGCGCAAUGGGGGAAGCCCUGACGCAGCGACGCCGCGUGAGUGAGGAAGGCCUUCGGGUCGUAAAGCUCUGUCAAGAGGGAAGAAGUGCAUAGCGGUUAAUACCCGUUAUGUUUGACGGUACCUCUAAAGGAAGCACCGGCUAACUCCGUGCCAGCAGCCGCGGUAAUACGGAGGGUGCAAGCGUUGUUCGGAAUUACUGGGCGUAAAGGGCGCGCAGGCGGCCUGUCAAGUCAGAUGUGAAAGCCCACGGCUUAACCGUGGAAGCGCAUUUGAAACUGACGGGCUUGAGUACCAGAGGGGAAGGUGGAAUUCCCGGUGUAGAGGUGAAAUUCGUAGAUAUCGGGAGGAAUACCGGUGGCGAAGGCGACUUUCUGGCUGGAUACUGACGCUGAGGCGCGAAAGCGUGGGGAGCAAAC
rnacentral:rRNA from 1 species